GUUCCCGUAGCUCAGCUGGAUAGAGCGUCUGCCUCCGGAGCAGAAGGCCGAGGGUUCGAAUCCCCCCGGGAACGCCA
rnacentral:tRNA from 1 species